rnacentral:ncRNA from 1 species
UAACAGCUUGAAUCUAACUGAAAACUUAGCUUUUUUGAAUCAAUAUACAUGUAAGCCCUAGCCUCCCCGUAAAUAGAAUUAAUUCAUAAAUAAAUCUACAAAUUACAUCAAAUUUAUUAUACGUAACAAAACGCCACAGUAAGUAACCCUAAUACUCUGUAAACCCAGGAAUUGGAUAUCAAAUAGAGAGUUGGCAAAAUUCGUGCCAGCUGCCGCGGUUAGACGAUAAACUCAAGCUAAUUAAAACACGACUAAAUACAAGAUGUUCUAAAUAACUUAUUAGGUCUAAUUUUACAGCCAAAGAGUCACAAACAUCAAAAUCUUAUGAAAGCCUAAACCAAAACACGGAUUAGAUACCCGUCUAUCUAGGCAAUAAAUAAAGUCGAAAAAUACGAACCACAGUUUAAAACUCAAAGAUUUUGGCGGUGUCUUAUCAAACCAGGGGAACCUGUCUCAUAACUCGAUAAUCCACGAAUCCCUUACCACUCCUCGAUUAAUCCAGUUUGUGUACUGCCGUCGUAAGCACACCUCUAAAAGUAAAUUAGUAUGCAAUAAUAGUUAACCUAUAUACGUCAGGUCAAAGUGCAGCUCAUGGAGAGGUGAUGAUGGGUUACACCCUAAAUAAAGACACGGAACAUAUUUUCAAAUAAUAUUUUAAGGUGGACUUGGUUGUAAUUUUAAUCCCAAUUAUAAUGAAAUUGAAUCUAAGACAUGCACACAUCGCCCGUCACUCUUGCCUAAAGGUGAGAUAAGUCGUAACAAAGUAGGUGUAACGGAAGUUGCACCUGUCGAAGU